rnacentral:rRNA from 1 species
UACGUAGGGUGCGAGCGUUAAUCGGAAUUACUGGGCGUAAAGCGUGCGUAGACGGUUGUUUAAGUCAGAUGUGAAAGCCCCGGGCUCAACCUGGGAAUUGCAUUUGAGACUGAAUAGCUAGGGUGCGGAAGAGGGAAGCGGAAUUUCCGGUGUAGCAGUGAAAUGCGUAGAUAUCGGAAGGAACAUCAGUGGCGAAAGCGGCUUCCUGGUCCAGCACCGACGUUCAGGCACGAAAGCGUGGGGAGCAAACAGG